CCUACGGGUGGCAGCAGUGGGGAAUAUUCGGCAUUGGGCGCAAGCCUGACCCAGCAACGCCGCGUGAAGGAAGAAGGCUUUCGGGUUGUAAACUUCUUUUAUCAGGGACGAAGCAAGUGACGGUACCUGAUGUAUAAGCCACGGCUAACUACGUGCCAGCAGCCGCGGUAAUACGUAGGUGGCAAGCGUUAUCCGGAUUUACUGGGUGUAAGGGGCGUGUAGGCGGGAGUGCAAGUCAGAUGUGAAAACUAUGGGCUCAACCCAUAGCCUGCAUUUGAAACUGUACUUCUUGAGUGCUGGAGAGGCAAUCGGAAUUCCGUGUGUAGCGGUGAAAUGCGUAGAUAUACGGAGGAACACCAGUGGCGAAGGCGGAUUGCUGGACAGUAACUGACGCUGAGGCGCGAAAGCGUGGGGAGCAAACAGGAUUAGAUACCCCUGUAGUC
rnacentral:rRNA from 1 species